AGGCAUGUGCACGCCCUGCUCAUCCACUCUACACCUGUGCACUUAUUGUAGGUCGGCGUGGGCUUCAGGCCUCCGGGUCUGUGGCAUUCUGCCGAUCUAUGUACACUACAAACUCUAAAGUAUCAGAAUGUAAUCGCGUCUAACGCAUCUAUAUACAACUUUCAGCAACGGAUCUCUUGGCUCUCGCAUCGAUGAAGAACGCAGCGAAAUGCGAUAAGUAAUGUGAAUUGCAGAAUUCAGUGAAUCAUCGAAUCUUUGAACGCACCUUGCGCUCCUUGGUAUUCCGAGGAGCAUGCCUGUUUGAGUGUCAUGGAAUUCUCAACCCAUAUAUCCUUGUGGUGUGUGGGCUUGGACUUGGAGGCUUGCUGGCUUUUACUAGUCGGCUCCUCUUGAAUGCAUUAGCUUGAUUCCGUGCGGAUCGGCUCUCAGUGUGAUAAUUGUCUACGCUGUGACCGUGAAGCGUUUGGCGAGCUUCUAACCGUCCUGUAUGGGACAACUUCUUGACAUCUGACCUCAAAUCAGGUAG
rnacentral:rRNA from 1 species